rnacentral:rRNA from 1 species
GAACGGGUGAGUAACGUGGGCAAUCUGCCCUUCACUCUGGGACAACCCUGGAAACGGGUAAUACCGGAUAACACUCCGGCCCGGGGGGGGUUAAAAGUCCGGCGGUGAAGGAUGAGCCCGCGGCCUAUCAGCUUGUUGGUGGGGUAAUGGCCUACCAGGCGACGACGGGUAGCCGGCCUGAGAGGGCGACCGGCCACACUGGGACUGAGACACGGCCCAGACUCCUACGGGAGGCAGCAGUGGGGAAUAUUGCACAAUGGGCGAAAGCCUGAUGCAGCGACGCCGCGUGAGGGAUGACGGCCUUCGGGUUGUAAACCUCUUUCAGCAGGGAAGAAGGACGGUACCUGCAGAAGAAGCGCCGGCU